GAACACCAUAUGUUCGUUUUUAGGAGCACCAAGCAAUUUACAUUUAUAAAAAUAAGAUUUUUUUUGGAGAAAGUUGGAGAACAUUCUAUACUGGAUGAGACACCAUUUUGAAGAGAGAUGCCCCUGCCACCCCACACACCUGAGCUGCAGAUAUCCAGCAUGAACAGUGAGGAGGAGGAUAGAGUACGUGACCAGAGGAUCCACCUAUGCCGCAGGCCAGGACUUGUUUGAAAGUCUACUGCAGUGCAGUGCACCCUGACAGUCAAGCACAGCUGCCCCUCCACACCCAUGCAAUGCUGGAGGCCAGAUAAGGAGGAGAAAGAAGAGGACUUUGGGUAACAUGUUCAAUGACAUCCUACAAGCCAAUGCUGCAGACCAUUGCAGUGAUCUAGCUAGGCUAAGCUGGGCUAACUGUGAGG